rnacentral:rRNA from 1 species
CGGAAUUACUGGGCGUAAAGCGCACGUAGGCGGUCUUUUAAGUCGGUGGUGAAAUCCUGGAGCUCAACUCCAGAACUGCCUUCGAUACUGGAAGACUUGAGUCCGGGAGAGGUGAGUGGAACUGCGAGUGUAGAGGUGAAAUUCGUAGAUAUUCGCAAGAACACCAGUGGCGAAGGCGGCUCACUGGCCCGGUACUGACGCUGAGGUGCGAAAGCGUGGGGAGCAAACAGG